UCUUUUUUAUUUUCGUUUUUUUUCUUGUAUAUUGAAAUAGAAAUAAAACCAGGAGUAAAAUAUUUUCCUUCGUUUACCUUUGAAACGUUGUUGGGAAGGCCGAGGUCCGUCUCCAAGGACAGACAGCUAGAAGCCAAGAGGUUUCUAGGGCUUUUUGGGGGUUUUUUGUGUUGAUUUUGGGAAUUUUGAACCCAGAUUCGGGUUUAGAGGGGUCGAGAAAGCCAAGUAGGGAAUUUUCCCCUUUUCCAGCCACCGCAGACGGCGGUGCUGGCGCCGGAGAUCGGC
rnacentral:lncRNA from 1 species